CCUACGGGAGGCAGCAGUGAGGAAUAUUGGUCAAUGGGAGGAAUCCUGAACCAGUCAUGCCGCGUGCAGGACGACGGCUCUACGAGUUGUAAACUGCUUUUGUACCGGGGUAAAAUGCUCUACGAGUAGGGUUUUGAAAGUACGGUACGAAUAAGGAUCGGCUAACUCCGUGCCAGAAGCCGCGGUAAUACGGAGGAUCCGAGCGUUAUCCGGAUUCAUUUGGUUUAAAGGGUGCGUAGGUUGUUUUAUAAGUUAGCGGUGAAAUACCGAUGCUCAACAUCGGGGCUGCCGCUGAUACUGUAGGACUAGAGAUCGGAUGCAGCAGGCGGAAUGUGUAGUGUAGCGGUGAAAUGCAUAGAUAUUACACAGAACACCGAUUGCGAAGGCAGCUUGCUAGGCCGGAUCUGACACUGAUGCACGAAAGCGUGGGGAUCGAACAGGAUUAGAUACCCGGGUAGUC
rnacentral:rRNA from 1 species